rnacentral:ribozyme from 1 species
GCCAUUUACCUGCGCACUUUUUUUUUAUCACCACCAACACACAACCCCACACACGCGGCCACACACAGCCCCUGGGAACAAGCACAACACAGCA